CUACAAUUACUGUAUUGGCUACAGAAACAACGCAAAUUGGCAUGAGUACCCCGGAGAGCCCAACUUUAGGAACUGAUGUUUCGUUUAACGUUAUAUACAUCGUCGCACCCGCUGGAGGAGUAUUUCUGAUCUCUAUUAUAAUCAUUUCAAUAGUUCGCUUACGGAAGAGAAUAAAGGAUACUGAAAACUUGACAGAUGAUAUUAAAAUGAAACGACAAACAAAACACAGGAAAAGACAAUACCAGCUUUAAGGGAGAAAUGAUAGAAAACGAACUUUACAAAAGUGUAGAUGACGUGUUAGAUUGUGAUGGUAAUGGGUAUAAUACAGAGGCUAUGAUCAUGAUGGGUAAUUCUUCCGCAACAUGCGCUUUAAAGAAGAAAAGCC